rnacentral:rRNA from 1 species
AGCGUUGUCCGGAAUUAUUGGGCGUAAAGGGCUCGUAGGUGGUUUGUCGCGUCGUCUGUGAAAUUCCGGGGCUUAACUUCGGGGUGGCAGGCGAUACGGGCAUAACUAGAGUGCUGUAGGGGAGACUGGAAUUCCUGGUGUAGCGGUGGAAUGCGCAGAUAUCAGGAGGAACACCGAUGGCGAAGGCAGGUCUCUGGGCUGUUACUGACGCUGAGGAGCGAAAGCGUGGGGAGCGAACAGGAUUAGAUACCCUGGUAGUCCAUGCCGUAAACGGUGGGCGCUAGGUGUGAGGGUCUUUUCACGACUUUCGUGCCGUAGCUAACGCAUUAAGCGCCCCGCCUGGGGAGUACGGCCGCAAG